rnacentral:lncRNA from 1 species
GCCUGCAUGAAUGAACUCAAGAGUAGCUAAAUGAGAAACAUCUAUAUAUUGGAUUAUUAAAUUGACUUCUAUUGUUCUCAACACCUGUUUGUAAAAGGCAGAGCCAUUCUCUUGAGAAGUACUGUUGAAGUCAGUAUUUUGACCUUCGUGAUGUAAGAAUUCAAACUUUGAAAAAAGAAAACCUUUAUACAAUUUAAGGUGUUCAACACAGAAGUGACUUUUAUAUGAUGUUAGAUUGACGACAAAUUGGAAGAUUUAGUCUUCAAAGCCUGUACAAAGUGACUGCUUAAGAAAAAUGCUGAAACUAAGGGCUUUUUCAAACCCUUGGCAGUAAUUUGAUUUAACGUGCCUUCAGUACGUUUAUUCCAUGCAAUGUAAAGUUCUGAGCAAAAUCUCAAAUGAGGAUUUCAUAGAAAUAGUGUUUGGUGUGAUUGGUCUGGAGAUGUCAGCUCUGCUUCUGCUGCUGAACUUGUUUUCCUCCUAAGCUUCGGAUUCUAUGUCUCCUACCUCUCCAAGUCUACUGGUUUAUGCAGAUAAUGUUCCUGUCACCACGGCUGGAUGAUGGCAGCUGUAACCCAUUGACCUUUCUAAGCAAACAUGCUAGAAUGCUUGAAGAACCACAACUGCCACUUUCAGGACAGCAGCACACUCUGGAUAGCUAAAGCUUUGACUUCUUUUCUAAGUAAGGAUCGCUUCAUGGAAACCACAUGUAUAGGUAAAAGAUGUGCCGUAGCGCAGCCUAAUGGCUGUUCCAGUUAUAAAGAUCAGCCAUGGGGCUGACAACAGUCAUUUAUGUUUUGCACUUGGAUAUCAAACAUAGUGUAUAUUUAGCAUUCCAAAUUAUGUGGUUGAGAUCAGUUGAUUUUUUUUUUUUUUUGGCUUUGUUCUUAUAAAAGGGUUUAUAAACCCUGUAGAUAAAUAAUUAAGAAUUCCCAUUUUGGAGACCUAAAGAUUCUGGUCACCAGUUCCUGUGUGGCGAGUGUAUGUGUUUGGGAGGGCAUUCCCUACAUCAACAAGCAAUUUUCUGACACCAGCUGGAUAUCUUACAAGUUGACUCAAUUCUGACACUAUCUACCUGGGGAUAGCAUCAGAUUCCACAGGUUAAAGGCUCCGUGUCACAAGACUGCCAUUUACUUUAGAAGAAAAUGGUGAGCCCAGGUUGUUACCUAUUCUUCUGAUGAUCAGCUACAAAUCAGAGGUUCUCUUUACCCCUUCUUGGGUUGCGUAUUAAGGGAUCAUCCUACAAGUCCCACCCUCCCACUUCAGAAGCCAGUUAUAAAUCCAGGUUUUCACCUAUGCGUUUCACCUUAUGCCCACCUUGAUUUUGAUUAAUUUGUUAGAGUGGCUCAGAAAACUCAGGGAAACAUUUUCUCUAGUAAUUGUUCAUUUAUUAUAAAAGAAUAUUACUCAGGAAUAGCCAAAUAGAAGAGAUAAAUAGGACAAAGUAUAGGAAAAGAACUUGGAACUUCCUUUGUGCCCUGAGUAUGCCUCUCCCUGACUCUUUACAUGUUCACCAACCCAGGAGUGCUCUUAAUCCCAUCCUUUUGGGGUUUUAUGGAGGCUUCAUUACUUAGGCACAGUUUAUUAAGUCAUUGGACAUGAGUGAUUGAUUCAUCAGCCAGCCCCUUUCUUCUUCCCUCUGGUCAAGGGGUGGGACUGAAAGUUCAAGCCCUCUAUUCCUCUAUUCCAUUGGUUCCCCUGGUAACCAGCAGUAUCCUUAGGUGCUUUCCAAAAGUCAACUCAUUAACACAAACCCCAUUGUAGUGGAAGGGGGCUUAUUAUAAAUAGCAAGACCCUCAUUUCAGUUUGUUUGCUCUGAAGUGAUUUCAUGAACUGAAGACAAAAGACCAAAUGUUAUAGCAAAGGUACUUGCUUUCUGCUCAGGAAAUUCCAGGGAUUUGAAACUGUGGACCAGGAACCAAAGGCCAAAUAUAUAUUUUUUAUUAUAAAUCACAAUAUCACAGGAACUAACUGUAGAGAGGUCUUAUCAUUCAGUAUAGUCUAUUGUAUGGCCAAUACAACUGAGUUCACAAUAGAAAUAUAACUGAGUCACUGGUGUAUCCAAUUUGAGAGAUUCUCCUCUACUUUUCUGUCCUUCUCGUGCUGCCUCAUACUUUCUGUAGAAAGUAAUUGGUAUAUAGGGUUUUCCUCCAUCCACCUUCCCCCCCCAGGAAAUAGUAAAGUUCUGCUUAUUUUUUGAGAGGUUGUUACUGAACCAAAUUUGGGCCCACUUGCCUGCCUCACAGCAAAGCCUGAUACCAGGCUUGAGGUGAAGGAAAGUACAUCAUUUAUUUGCAGGGCCCCAAGCAAAUGCUUAAAAGACCCAACUCUCUGAUGGCUUUCAGGGAAGAAUUUUUUAAAGGCAGCAUUUGGAAUGAGAGUCCCAGAGUCGCAGCCUCAUGUACUUUCCUGAUUGGUUGGUGGUGAGCUAACAGUGAUCUUUCAGAGAUCUUAACCAUCAGCCUCUGGUUCCAACCAGUCUGGGGUCUCUGGGCUUGUGGUCAACAUGUAGGCACCAUCUUCCUCCUGCUAAGGGGGGGUCUUAGUCUCUGAAGAACAGCUUGAAGAUAUGCAUCAAAUUAUUAUGUGUAUCCAUUGAGGAGGAAAUAGGGACUGUUUUAUCACUGAACUAUUGUUUAAGCUAUCACUGCUUUUCUUGCUUAACUCCUUUUCCUUUGUUUCUUUAUUCCCUCACUUCCCUAAUUAGUAACUAUUUCUCCUCUUUGGAGCUCUGGGAGGACUAGGAGAUAAAGCUUUUUUCUACAGACAAGAAACAGAGGACAUGGUAAGGCUUUUGUACCCAGGAGGUCCCCAAAGAGUCCUGCUUCAAAGUCAGGAAUUAAAAUUUUAAAUCACAUCGAAGGAAUUAGAAAUGUUACAUAUUCCUUUAUUAUAACUAAGCUUCCUUGAAGUUUUGCCUGCUUCUUAGAAAACAGAACUUAAAUAAUUAUAGGUAAGUAAAAUAUAUUGUAUAGUGACCUAAUCAAUGAUAACAAAACCAUUCUAACUUGUUGACAAACUAAAAACAGCAGCUUAGAAUAAACUGAAAUGUCAAAACAAUUAAAAUUUUUGUAAAUGUUAUAUCAUUCCAGCGUAAAAUAGCAUGUAAUUGCAGCUAUCAGUUUGCACUCAAUAGUAAAUACAGUAAUUGAAAUUCUAGAAUUUAUUUAAAAAGAAGCUUUAACUCUAUAUAAGGGCAGAUUUUAAUUCUUUUUUUGUAUUAGGUUUUGAUUCCCAAGUCUUUAAGACACUAGUACUUAGGGUUGAACUAUAGAUAAUGAAAGACAAUUUAAAAACAUCAAGAGAGAAAAACUAGUUCAGUGUUAAUUUAAAUACCAAAGCAAUUGACCAAUAGUAAAUAGUGAAAACUUUCCUAUAAAUCAAGUCCUGGUGGCUCAGUGGUUUAAGAAUCUGGCAUUGUCACUGCUAUGGUGCUUUACGGCAGCUGCCCAGCAGCCCACAGCUUCAGUGUGUCAACUCUAGCAAAAACCCUGUGGCUAUAGUGUUAUCAGUUCCAGCAGCUCUUUUACCUGGCAAGAAACCAAGUGAGCACUUGGAGAGUUGGAGAACACAGGUUUAUUACACCUGCAGACUCAGAGGAGAUGGCUCUCUUGAGUCUGAGGGGAAACCCUAAGAAGGGUUUCACAAGGCUUUAAUGGGCUAGCUCUUUUGGGUCUGUGCUUGGCUGGUCGGACCAGAGUGAGAACAGGCAGGGUUGUAGUUGCAGAAGCAGCUUUAUAGAAGCAGAUGUGGGGGAGGGGUAGUUAGGGGCAGUUGACUGGACUUUGCUUAGUCAUCAUGGUUGGGGUCUCUCCUUUCUACCUUUUUAUAUGGACAUUUUCUCCUACAGCGCAGGUUUGAGUCCCUAGCCCAGGAACUUUUGCAUGCCAUGGGUGUGGCCAAAAAAAUGUAUUUAUUGAAAAUCCUUAAAUCAUAACAUGUAUGUUAUUCAUUUUUUUGGAAUGUUUGUUUCUACCAACGUUACUACUAAUGAAUUACAUUUUUUUACAUUGUUUUCUCUCUUAAAACCAGAAGUAAUUACAAAGGGAAUUUCAGAGGAAAUGCCAAAAAAAAUUUGAAAAAUUUUUUUGAAUUCCACAGACAUUUUUAAAAGUUAGGCUCAACGGACAACCUAAUGCUCAGCAAGACUCUAGAUCAGCUUUUUAUAGAUCUCUGCAGUGCUUUAUAUACAUUAUUAUAUCUCUUCAACAUUAUUAUUAUUUUGGAAAUUCUGGAAAAUUUGGCAUCCUUAAAUACCAAACUCCAUUUCCUUAAUCUAGUGUGACUACUGAUUUCUGUUUGGGUACCCUUCCAUAUAUUACAACCUGGUAACUCCGGAAAUAAACUUGGG